GGAGCCAGAACAGCGGAAUUGCCUUCGCCCGCCCUGCCCCUCGCCUGCUUCAGAAGCUUCCAGGAACUCCCGGGUCGGCGACCCAGCCCGAGCCGCCUGGGGCCCCAAGGGAAGCUGAACGCCCUGUGGGCUCCUGGGAUGGUUCUUCCCGUUCUUUGCGCCGCCUUCACCCAUUGAAGAGCCUGUGCCCACCCUGCCCAGUCGCUCUCGGGGCCGCGGAGGAGCUUCCGCUGCCAUCUUCGGAUCCUGUGUUCCGCACGGGGGCUCCACCAGGGCAGGGAUGGUGAAUGGGGAAAUGGAGAGAGAACCUGAAAGAGCCCCAAACUCGAGGACCUAUUGCUCCCCAAGAAUAACAUCUUCCAGAAGAACUAGACAGAAAACUAGGCGUCUGGGAACUCUGAAAUCCUUGGAGGAGUAGCAUCAUCAUGACCCUCUGUGUUCCUUUUGGCAAAGGACUUGCUCCCAUUGUUUGCUUGUUCCAUUGUCUGUCUGUUAAAUAAAUAAAACCCUUUUCAUAUAUCUUUAAA
rnacentral:lncRNA from 1 species